rnacentral:rRNA from 1 species
UAAGGAUUAUUGGACAAUGGACGCAAGUCUGAUCCAGCCAUGCCGCGUGAAGGAUGAAUGCCCUCUGGGUUGUAAACUUCUUUUAUAGGGGAAGAAAGAUACUUUUUUUAAGGUAGUUGACGGUCCCCUAUGAAUAAGCACCGGCUAACUCCGUGCCAGCAGCCGCGGUAAUACGGAGGGUGCGAGCGUUAUCCGGAUUUACUGGGAUUAAAGGGUGAGUAGGUGGGCUUAUAAGUCAGUGGUGAAAUCUCCGAGCUUAACUUGGAAACUGCCGUUGAUACUAUAGGUCUUGAAUUAUCUGGAGUGAAGCGGAAUAUGUCAUUUAGCGGUGAAAUGCUUAGAUAUGACAUAGAACACCAAUUGCGAAGGCAGCUUACUACAUAUAAAUUGACGCUGAGGCACGAAAGCGUGGGGAUCAAACA